UGUAAAAUUGAUUGUCUCUGGUUACUCUCGUGAUCUGUAUCUAGAGGGCAAGUCAGGUCUUGGAAUGCUGAGGUGAGACUUUCCAUGGCCUCUGUUUUUCUUGAUGGGUGGAUUACACAUUACUUCCUUGGAUGUUUAAAGAUUAUUAUAUCAUUGCUCCCCUUUUUAUCGGCAAGCAUUCUCUCAUCUUCUGGUAACUUGAGUAAGAUGCAACACACUAAUGCUUUCUUAGUCUGGUUUGUUGCAAAAAAUAAUUGAAGUGUGCAGACAGGCAGCAUGGAAACACUAAAGAGAAGUUUCAUACGUACUAAUAGCUGGAGUGAUUUGAUACCUGUAGUAACCGUCUUAGAAUAAAUAAGAUUCAGCUAUUUCUAAAGAUAUUAGACCAUAAGAUUAUUCUUAAGUAAAGAUGUUUCAUGCUUCUGUUUCUGCAAAAUUUCUAAGAGUAUAUGAUUUCAUUUUCCUUCUUUCCCAGUUAUAAAUUUAUUGGCAUCAAAGUAGAGCUUCAGGUUUAUGGUUCAGUAUAUCAUUGCAAAGUAGUUUAUGGCUCAGUAUAUCACUACAGGUUCCUUACACUCUCAAAUUUCAAUGUUUUUGUAUUUUUGUCGAUGGAACCAUGUUCUUUGACUAUAAAGUAGCAGAGAUUUCUUUUCUAUCAAUUCUAAUCCCUUUUUAUGCAUUGCUGGUUUGCUAUCAAACUCUCAAAAAUGGAAAAACAACUUUACUUUGGUUUUUUGAGAACCUUCCUGUAGAGUACCUCGACAGAGACAAAUAUGCGGUCAAGGAUAUAUUCGAUGGAUUUUCAUGCCAAACUUGGAGGAUAUUUUUGCAGGUUCGUUGCUUGCAUUAUUGUUUUCUUACUUUCUGUUCUUCAAGACAAUAUCUUCCUAGCAUUGCUCUAUAAAUUUAAAUCCAUCUUUUUGUUCUUUGGAUUAUCAUGGCGUACUCAUCCUGUGUAAUCCAAGCAAGGGCCUUCAUGUUUGCAGAUAGUUUGGUACUCUCGUGGUUAUUUUUGUGGUGAUUUGCCUUCUAUUCAUUACUUGGUAACCAUCUACUGCAGGUCAGCUAUUGUCCAGCUGCUAACCUUAUGGUGAGUGGUUGAUGGUGCAUGUUUUCCUAUUAGUUUCUCUCUAUGCCAAUGUCUGAAUUUUAUCUUGCCGUUUUGCAUUUCUACAGGCCUUUCAUUCUCAUUGUGAUUCCCCGAGAUGCGCUAUUAGUAGGCAUCCACUUUCUAAUAAAAAUUUGGAAGUCAACUUGAAAAGAGUCAUUUAUCUAGCUACAGCAACCUUCCUUGCUUUUGCAAAUAAUACUUUAUGGUUGACAAUAUAGUCUACACCUGCCAAACAUUUACACGUUAGUAUAACCAGAAAGUCAGAUGAUCGUUCCAUGUUGGUUAGCCGUGAUAAAUCAAAUUUCUAGAGUAGCAGAUGAUUCGUGUCAGGUUUCUUUUAGAGAUUGAAAUAUGUCUUGACUCCGAAAUAAGUAGUACAACGUCCAGUUCUGCAUAGGUGAAAGCAUACUGUGCAAAACCGGACAGCCUUCUAAAGCUCUGAAACUACUAUUUGUUUUUGUUUUUUGCGGUUAACUACUACUUGUUGUGUGAUCAGUACCCCCUUUUUAUACUCUGUAUAUGCUUUCUACUUACUAGGAAAAAAUGCGUGAGAACGAUGGCCUAGAGGAUGUGAAUUGCACUCGAAUAUAUGCAGGUUUCUUGCCAAACUAACUGCCACUAUUAUAUUUCAGGUGCUUCUUCUGUAACUUAGUGUAUUUUCCUGGCUCUUCUCAUUUCCUGGCGAACUUUUUAGUAUGUACAGUUGAAUCGUUGGAAGUUGUUUUCUACUAUCUAUAGAGGUUUUAUCCAAACUAUUAGCUGCCUGACUUGCUUUUUCGAAAUACACCGUCCUGAUAGACAUUUCCAUGGGAUGUUAGAAAAAUAUAUGUGAAUUUGCAUACAUUUUAUAAAUUCCUAUCUUUACUUAUCCAUGCUUCCCCAUAGAUAAAUAGCAGGUUCAACAAAAAUGAAUGUUCUCUUUUGUUCAAAUUUCAAGAAAGUGUGCUUCACGCUUCUCUUUCUGCAAUAUGUUUCGGAGUGUAUGAUUUGAUUUUCCUACUUUCCCGGUUACAAUACUGUGUACUUCAUUCCUAGCUUUGCUUGAAAUAGGUAUGCAGGUUAUCGAAAGCUCCAUUUUUCUCCAUUAUAUAGAUUAUAUAGCUUUGUGAUCAAAGGUAGGUUGUCACACAGGGGAUUUGGCUUGUGAAAGUUAUAUACAUCCAUGAGUCCCUAACAAAAUAAUCGCAGCUCAUGUUAAAAGGAUCAGGGAACCUCGACCAUUUUUCUGAAACAUGUCUCAGCUCAUGUUCCGACUUUCUACACUACUAU
rnacentral:lncRNA from 1 species